GAUGAACGCUGGCGGCGUGCCUAAUACAUGCAAGUAGAACGCUGACGGCGGAGCUUGCUCUUCUGGAUGAGUUGCGAACGGGUGAGUAACGCGUAGGUAACCUGCCUGGUAGCGGGGGAUAACUAUUGGAAACGAUAGCUAAUACCGCAUGACAACAGUUAUUGCAUGAUAACUGUUUAAAAGGGGCAACUGCUCCACUACCAGAUGGCCCUGCGUUGUAUUAGCUAGUUGGUGGGGUAACGGCUCACCAAGGGGACGAUACAUAGCCGACCAGAGAGGGUGAGCGGCCACACUGGGACUGAGACACGGCCCAGACCCCUACGGGAGGCAGCAGUAGGGAAUCUUCGGGAAUGGACGGAAGGCUGACCGUGCAACGACGGGUGAGAGAAGGAGGUUGUCGGGUCGUAAAGCUCUGUUGUAAGAGAAGAACGAGUGUGAGAGUGGAAAGUGCACACUGUGACGGUAGCUUACCAGAAAGGGACGGCUAACUACGUG
rnacentral:rRNA from 1 species